rnacentral:rRNA from 1 species
UACGUAGGGUCCGAGCGUUGUCCGGAAUUAUUGGGCGUAAAGAGCUCGUAGGCGGUCUGUCGCGUCUGCUGUGAAAACUCGGGGCUUAACCCCGGGCCUGCAGUGGGUACGGGCAGACUAGAGUGCGGUAGGGGAGACUGGAAUUCCUGGUGUAGCGGUGAAAUGCGCAGAUAUCAGGAGGAACACCGGUGGCGAAGGCGGGUCUCUGGGCCGUAGCUGACACUGAGGCGCGACAGCGUGGGGAGCAAACAGG